GGAGAGUUGUAAACAGACAGUAGAGGCAAGGGGUAAAUAGGUGGUGGAGGAGAUUUAUAAGUAUAAUUGAAGGUGGAGGAGAUGAGUAAUCUGGGGGAGAAGGAGGAGGAGUACAUUGGCGGUGGAGGAGAUUAAUAAACAGGAGGUGGAGGAGAUGAGUAGACUGGUGGAGGAGGAGAGUGGUACACCAGAGGUGGAGGAGAGGAAUAAAUAGGUAGUGGAGGAGAUUUAUAAACAGGAGGUGGAGGAGAUGAGUAGACUAGUGGAGGGGGAAAGUGGCACAUCAGAGGAGGUGGAGGAGGGGAAUAAACAGGUGGUGGAGGAGAUUUAUAAAUAGGAGGUGGAGGAGAUGAGUAGACUGGUGGAGGAGGAGAGUGAUCAUGCACCGGAGGUGGAGGAGAGGAAUAAAUAGGUGGUGGAGGAGAUUUAUAAACAGGAGGUGGAGGAGAUGAGUAGACUGGUGGAGGAGGAGAGUGAUCAUGCACCGGAGGUGGAGGAGAGGAAUAAAUAGGUGGUGGAGGAGAUUUAUAAACAGGAGGUGGAGGAGAUGAGUAGACUGGUGGAGGAGGAGAGUGAUCAUGCACCGGAGGUGGAGGAGAGGAAUAAAUAGGUGGUGGAGGAGAUUUAUAAACAGGAGGUGGAGGAGAUGAGUAGACUGGUGGAAGAGGAGAGUGGUACACCGGAGGUGGAGGAGAGAAAUAAACAGGUGGUGGAGGAGAUUUAUAAACAGGAGGUGGAGGAGAUGAGUAGAUUGGUGGAGGAGGAGUGUGAUACACAGGAGGUGAAGGAGAGGAAUAAACAGGUGGUGGAGGAGAUUUAUAGACAGGGGGUGGUGGGGAGGGGUAGGUUGGUGGUGGAGGAGAUUUAUAAACCGAAUAUGGAGGAUAUGGAUAAACUGGUGGUGGAGAAAAUUUAUAUACAGGUGGAGGAGAAGAUGGAUAUAGUAGUGGU
rnacentral:lncRNA from 1 species